rnacentral:rRNA from 1 species
UACGUAGGGUGCGAGCGUUGUCCGGAAUUAUUGGGCGUAAAGGGCUCGUAGGCGGUUUGUCGCGUCGGGAGUGAAAAACAUCCAGCUUAACUGGGUGCUUGCUUUCGAUACGGGCAGACUAGAGGUAUGCAGGGGAGAACGGAAUUCCUGGUGUAGCGGUGAAAUGCGCAGAUAUCAGGAGGAACACCGGUGGCGAAGGCGGUUCUCUGGGCAUGAUCUGACGCUGAGGAGCGAAAGUGUGGGGAGCGAACAGG